CAGAGCCUGGGAAACAUCUCUGUUGUACUCUGGAAGAUGAACCCUGCUCAGAGCAUCUUCCAUUGGUGGCAGUAAAUAUCUUCCAAGACAUUCAUCAAGCACAGACGUGACAUGCAGCGAUGGAGAAAGGAAAUGCUUGCUA
rnacentral:lncRNA from 1 species